CUGUCCCAUGUCCCCAUCCCCCGGCCCCGCCCCAGGCUGGCCCCACCUCCUGCCUUCUGACUCCGGGACCCGCCUGGUGGCCCUGCCGUGCGGGAUUGCCUCUGGCCAGCGCUGUCGCCAUCAUCUGGCUGCGAUGCUCACAGGCUUCACACCCGCUGUCGCUCAGCUAGGACUCUGGCCUGGGCACCCAUUACAUUCAUCAGUGAGGCCACGCAGCUGGACGCGUCAACCUUUGCUCUAGAUACGCGAGCGGUUCCGACACACAGGUGGAGAGAGUGUGUGGACGGGAGACUCGGACAGGGGGAGAGAUCGAUUUCCAAUACCUCCCAGAUCGCUCAAGAGACAGACAAAACUCCCAGUGCAACAGCUUCCCACCUCUCCGGGAGGACCCCUUUUCUUUGCUUUUCUGCAGGAAACUUAACGAAAGGCCUGCACCCCCUGACUUAACUUCGGUGUCUCAUUAAAACUUGCCUAGACCCUCGUAUGUGAACGAGCUUGGGCUCCAGCCAGCAAGGAUUUCUGCUGGAAAAAAUGACUUUGCACGGGGAGUUGUUCCUUGCCAGCUGCCCCUUGGCGCUUCUGGUUUCGGCCGCCCCCGCCCUGUCUGUCUCUCUAAUCCCCAUGGCGCCAUUCAUCAGGAACUGUGUCUAGAUCGCAGAUACACUAUAACUCAUGGAGAAGGAUCCUGAAGUACUUCGGGAUGGUCGUGGUCUCUUAUUCCAUGGUGGUCCUUACUGCCGUCUACACUUUCCAGUUUCAAGUUGUUGCUGGAUUUUUCAAGGAAACCCUGAAGAACGGUUACACGAUGUGGGCCUGGAGCCAUUCCACGCGGCUGAGCUGUUUGCUGAGAUCCUGCUGCCUGCUGCCCUCCUGCUGGCAUGCAUCCUUCAAUGUCAUUACUUUAAUGAAGACUUUCUGAAGCCCACCAGCCUGUAUAAUAGCCCCGUUAAAUGGAAGGGCACAUCUGACAGGUGCUCUUUUGACGCUGGUGGGGAAAGUUGGACCCCGCGUGUCUCUGGAAGGUCCGCGCACGGGACGGGCCCGCCAGGGGCCUCCGGGGCAGAAGUGUGGCGCUUUGUUUCUGCUGAGACUCUCGCGAGAGUCAGAGAGCUGCUCCAGGGCGGUGCAGUCUGCUCAUCGGAUGUUCUGCAGGCCUGAAGCAACAGGAAGGAAACCGACAUGCAUCUUCUGCCAGCCGUGUGAGGGCCUCUUUACAAUUCCUCCUGCGAGGCGUGCUCUCCCGAGGGAGCGCCCCACUUCGGGUGCACCAGCCAACCACCCCGGGUGUUGAUCUCAAUCUUUAAAAAAGACUCCAGCAGAGAAUGAAUGCCCGUCCCUAGGGGACUGACUCAGCAAAUGAUGGUGUGUCUCCGCCUCUCGGGAUGCUCUGAGACUCUGCCACUGAUAAGGAGGGCCACGGGGGCAGCCCCACGUGUGCUGAUCUGAAGUAGGCUUCAAGAUAGAUGGCCAAGUGGUGAAAGCAAGGGGCAGAACACUAUAUGUAGAACGUGCUAUCAUUUGUCCAAGGAAAAGAGACCUGCACACGUGCUUAUACAUACAAAGCAUACCUUUGGAAGAAUGCAGAAGAAAUCUGUCCUGGUGCUUGCCUGGGGGAGGCAGACAGAGGCUUAAGGUUAUAUACCUUGGAAACUUCAGGAGAGGUAAGAACUAAAGAGUGAGAGGAAAUGCGUUCUUCUCCAGAAAUUGAUUUCUGGUGUCAACUGUGCCUCGAGAAAAGCGUAAACGUGAUUCCCAACAGUACAGGUCAAACACAACUUUUUUCGUAACGGCCAAGUCCUUGAUUCUGUCCCCUACCCGUGUCUCCUUGUGGCAUGGAUCCAUUUCACUUACAGGCUUUGAUAAAACAGGCUCACGAGUUGGUACUCAUUCUCCUCUGUUUGCGUGCCUUGGAGUACCCCGCCUUUGCUUUUCAGACUGCGACCAGGCGGGGAAGAGGAGACAGCUCAGAACUUUGCCAACAAAGCCAGCAGUUCCAACUGGAAAGCGGAGAAAUCUGGAAGGCUGGGGAGGAAGGCGUCAGCACGUUGGAGAUACCGCUUCCCAAGAAGCCCUGCCUGUCGCUGCUCAGGGCUGCUCUCCAGGGUUGCCAAGAAUCCUGGGCCAUCCAGGCAAACGACUGAUUCAUUAAAACAAUAAUCCACCCAGACUGUCGACCUGGUUCCCUGAUUCAACACAGCCUCAGCAUGCUGUCUUCACUUUUCAUUUUGGGGACCAAGCCAAGUGUCCCAGGCGUGGGGGGCUGGGAUGUCACCCCCCUGCCAUCCGCCUGCUUGCUCCUGCCCGAUUUCAUUCCCGUGCCCAAGGGGGAGCCGGUUCACAUCAGGUGGACCUGCAAAUUCUGACAGCAGCUGGGCUGAUGGCUGCCACUUUACUUUCACGAACACAUGUAUAUGUAUGACUGAUUCACGCUGUUAUAAAGCAGAAACGAACACACCAUUGUAAAGCAAUUAU